rnacentral:lncRNA from 1 species
UGUGUUUACAGUUUUGACCGGAAAAAUUCCAAAUCCUACUUUUUCACUUGAUGCAACUUGAAACACACUCAGCGUCCAGCUUUGAAAGUGCAUUUCGAGUGUUUGGAAUGUUGUGGAGUGUACUUCCAAUUAUGAAUCUCGAGACUCCUGCUCAGGGUGGCUUUGAAAAGCACACUUGAAUCUGGAGAAGCCACAAUGAGGGAGCAGUGAUAAAUGGUAUGCAGAAAGAGAAAAUAAUUUAACGGAAAAGAGACAGCAAGAAGAUGGCUGUCUGCGAGACAGGAAGAGGGCUCUCACUAGAAAUGACCCAAACAGGACCUUAACCUUGAACUUGGACGUCCCAGCCUCCAGAACUGUGAGAAGUGAAUGUUUGCAGUUUAAGCCACCCAGGCUGUGGUAUUUUCUUAUAGCAACCUGACUGGGCUAAUACUUGAAGGAAAGCGGACACAGAUAGAGACGUUCAGCAUGAACAGAAACAUGUAAAAUGAGCUCAUCAACAAAUAUUCCAAAACAUCGGAAAAGAUCUAAAGUUAAGUAUACAAUCAUAUGUGGGAAAAGUGGCUAUGAUACGUUUAUAUAAGUUAUCAUGACUGCUGGCUUAUAUUUUCCAAGUUGUAGGUGGGAUUUCGUCUCUGGAUCAGAAUAGGUUCUUGGAGAAGGAGAAAAGAAAAUGAUCUACUCAACUUUCAACCAACAAAAGCUAGUGACAAGUAGAAUGAGCCCUUGGAGUCGAUUCCAUGAAUUCAACCCAAUUUGAAAGAAUAGUUGAAAAGUUUCUUUUACAUGUUUGAUGGUUGGUGGUGGGUUUUAACCAGCACAAAGCAACUCAAAUUUAUUAUCUUGUGAUUUUUUAUCAGUCAGAAAUCAAGGUACGUGCUCAGCUCGACUCCCUGCUUGAGAUCUCAACAGACCAACAUCACUGCACCAGCUGCCUGGGCUUUGGGGAGGAACUCACUUUCAAGCUCAUCCAGAUGCUACCAGAAGACACAGAGCUCCAGGUCAGAGACAAAGGAUUUUACUAUAACAGCAAGCAGCAUGAGUAUGAUGUUGGCACUGGUUACCUUUGCCAACAAUUCCCAUGGAGCUGA